AUUCCCCUAGUAACUGCGAGUGAAGCGGGAAAAGCUCAAAUUUAAAAUCUGGUAGCCUCUGGUUGCCCGAGUUGUAAUUUAGAGAAGCGUCUUCCGCACUGGACCGUGCACAAGUCUCCUGGAAUGGAGCGUCAUAGAGGGUGAGAAUCCCGUCUUUGGCACGGACACACCAGGGCUUUCGUGAUGCGCUCUCAAAGAGUCGAGUUGUUUGGGAAUGCAGCUCAAAAUGGGUGGUGAACUCCAUCUAAAGCUAAAUAUUGGCGAGAGACCGAUAGCGAACAAGUACCGUGAGGGAAAGAUGAAAAGCACUUUGGAAAGAGAGUGAAACAGUACGUGAAAUUGUUGAAAGGGAAACGCUUGAAGUCAGUCGCGUUGACCAAGACUCAGCCUUGCCUUGGCUUGGUGUAAUUCUUGGCUGACGGGCCAGCAUCAAUUUUGACCCUCGGAUAAUGGCAAGGGAAAGGUAGCACCUUUAUAGGUGUGUUAUAGUCUCCUGUCGGAUACGAGGGUUGGGAUUGAGGAACUCAGCACGCACCACUUGGUGUCGGGGUUCUUGCCCACGCUACGUGCUUAGGAUGCUGGCGUAAUGGCUUUAAACGACCCGUCUUGAAACACGGACCAAGGAGUCUAACAUGCCCGCGAGUGUUCGGGUGGAAAACCCGUGCGCGUAAUGAAAGUGAAAGUUGGGACCUCUGUCGUGGGGGGCACCGACGCCCGGACCAGACCUUCUGUGACGGAUCUGCGGUAGAGCGUGCAUGUUGGGACCCGAAAGAUGGUGAACUAUGCCUGAAUAGGGUGAAGCCAGAGGAAACUCUGGUGGAGGCUCGUAGCGAUUCUGACGUGCAAAUCGAUCGUCAAAUUUGGGUAUAGGGGCGAAAGAC
rnacentral:rRNA from 1 species